rfam:Eimeria brunetti, Houghton, WGS project CBTX01000000 data, contig: Ebh_scaff5695_1
GCGGGGUUGGUGUAGUGGUUAUCACGUCUGCUUUACACGCAGAAGGCCGCGGGUUCAAACCCCGCACCCCGUA